CCUACGGGAGGCAGCAGUGGGGAAUAUUGGACAAUGGGGGGAACCCUGAUCCAGCGACGCCGCGUGAGUGAAGAAGUAUUUCGGUAUGUAAAGCUCUAUCAGCAGGGAAGAAAAUGACGGUACCUGACUAAGAAGCCCCGGCUAACUACGUGCCAGCAGCCGCGGUAAUACGUAGGGGGCAAGCGUUAUCCGGAUUUACUGGGUGUAAAGGGAGCGUAGGCGGUGCAGCAAGUCAGAAGUGAAAGGCCGGGGCCCAACCCCGGGACUGCAUUGGAAACUGUUGAACUGGAGUGCAGGAGAGGUAAGCGGAAUUCCUAGUGUAGCGGUGAAAUGCGUAGAUAUUAGGAGGAACACCAGUGGCGAAGGCGGCUUACUGGACUGUAAAUGACGCUGAGGCUCGAAAGCGUGGGGAGCAAACAGGAUUAGAUACCCUUGUAGUC
rnacentral:rRNA from 1 species